GUGAAGCAUAGUGGCAUGCCUGUAGUCCCAGCUACUCAGGAGGCUAAAGCGGCAGGAUCACUUGAGCCCAAAAGUUCAGGGUUGUAGUGUACUAUGCCAAAUGGGUGCCACACUAAAUUUGGCAUCAAUAUGGUGACCUUCUGAGAGCUGAGGACCACCAGGUUGCAUGAGGAGGGGUGAAGUGGCCCAGGUUAGAAAAGGAGCAGGUCAAAACUCUUGUGCUGAUCAGUAGUGAGAUUAUGCCUAUGACUAGCCAGUGCACUCCAGCCUGGGCAACAUAAUAAGACUUUGUCUCU
rnacentral:SRP_RNA from 1 species